rnacentral:rRNA from 1 species
UACGGGGGGAGCAAGCGUUGUUCGGAUUUACUGGGCGUAAAGGGCGCGUAGGCGGCGUGACAAGUCACUUGUGAAAUCUUCGGGCUUAACCCGGAGCGGCCAAGUGAUACUGUCGUGCUAGAGUGCGGAAGGGGCUACUGGAAUUCUCGGUGUAGCGGUGAAAUGCGUAGAUAUCGAGAGGAACACCUGCGGCGAAGGCGGGUAGCUGGGCCGACACUGACGCUGAGGCGCGAAAGCCAGGGGAGCGAACGGG